GCUGGCUGGUUGCUGAAUAGCUUUCCAAUGAGUUGGUAGAAGUAAUUGGUGUCACCCGUCAGACGAUAGUGCUGGUGUACAUGUGUGUGUGUGUGUGUGUGCGAGCUUGUGUCUGUGUGCUGGUGAGAGGGAUCUAGAAUUCGUGUGUUGGAGGUAUGCAGAUUGCCAUCAAGAUGGCGAAUUCAACACCGAAUAACGGCUUCCCUUACAAACAUUCCGCUGUUUCUGGAGUGUUUCUUGUAAUGGUUGGUUUGUUCACUUUUGUCUAUUCUUGUUUCGAUGUCAAAGUGAUGCGCCUCUUCAUUGGAACAGUGAUAUGUUGUUCAUUACUUACUAUAGUCGGUAUGAUCAUCACUUUUACUGGUCUCCGCGUCUUGGAAUCUCUGGUGAAAAACGUAAGUAACGAGCAUAUCACCAUCAUCAUCAUCAUCAUCAUCAUCAUCAUCAUCAUCAUCAUCAUCAUCGUUUUUUCUUCUC